AGUGAGCGCUGGCGGUAGGCCUAACACAUGCAAGUCGAACGGCAGCACAGUAAGAGCUUGCUCUUACGGGUGGCGAGUGGCGGACGGGUGAGGAAUACAUCGGAAUCUACUUUUUCGUGGGGGAUAACGUAGGGAAACUUACGCUAAUACCGCAUACGACCUACGGGUGAAAGCAGGGGAUCUUCGGACCUUGCGCGAUUGAAUGAGCCGAUGUCGGAUUAGCUAGUUGGCGGGUUAAAGGCCCACCAAGGCGACGAUCCGUAGCUGGUCUGAGAGGAUGAUCAGCCACACUGGAACUGAGACACGGCCCAGACUCCUACGGGAGGCAGCAGUGGGGAAUAUUGGACAAUGGGCGCAAGCCUGAUCCAGCCAUACCGCGUGGGUGAAGAAGGCCUUCGGGUUGUAAAGCCCUUUUGUUGGGAAAGAAAAGCAGCAGGUUAAUACCCCGCUGUUCUGACGGUACCCAAAGAAUAAGCACCGGCUAACUUCGUG
rnacentral:rRNA from 1 species